UAUAAGAAGCUACAGUACACCCACCGAGCCCUAAAACGCCGACUCCCCUCUUCUCGGGUCAUUUCCUCCCGAUCUCGUCGACGGACGCAGCUCCGACUCACGGCCGCGCCGGAAUACCGGCCCUGUGUAGCAGGGCGAGUCUCCGACUUCCUCGACAGAUCGGAGGAGGUCUCACCGACGGUGUCUUCCCUCGAAACCGCCUCUUCGCCCAGGGGAUUUCCAGUCGGGUGAUGAGAUUUGGGUCCUGUGGACACGGGGGGUGAUAUCGCCUGUUCCAAAGCGAUGCUGGACGAGGAUUUGCAUUUCAAGGAGCUGUCUCAUUUUCCCGAGCCUUAGAGCCAAGCCGAUUCCGUCGAGUUUCUCUUCCGCCGCUUGUGGUGGCUCCUGGCAGUGAGGUAGGUCAGUGGCUUGCUGGGAAGGGCUCGAUCACAGUUCCAGCAGCUGGUUUUCCUCCGGGAAUCAAUAGCUUUGUGAGAGCUCGGAUCUGUGAAUCAACAACAUUGGGCAGCAUCAGUGUGCUAGUGCCAGCGAGUCUAUCUUCCAGCAACGAUUCUUCAUCCGGGAAGCAGUAGCCUUGUAGAAACAUUGGUUGUGCAUCUGAGGUAGUGAGCAGCACCAUUGAACUUGUGCCGACGAUUCCACCUACCGACAGUGAGUCAACAUCGGGGAGUUAGGUAAGGUAUCUUGAUUUUGUUAGAAUUGGAAGCUUGUUGAUUGUUGCUUAAUUAAUUGAUAGAUGUAGAUUUUGUUAAGGAAUGAGAUAAUUUCGUAUGGUACCAGUGUAUAUGGAACCAAUGCAUGUUUAGAAUUCCUUAUGUUGAUCAGAUUUGGCUGGGAAUUGUGUGAUCUGAAGACAUAAAUUAGGGCUUGGGAAUUGUUGUGGAGUAGAUCAGUGUAGGGUUUAUU